rnacentral:siRNA from 1 species
UCCUUUAUCGUUCCUGGUGCG